UAGGGAAUCUUCGGCAAUGGACGGAAGUCUGACCGAGCAACGCCGCGUGAGUGAAGAAGGUUUUCGGAUCGUAAAGCUCUGUUGUUAGAGAAGAACGUUGGUAGGAGUGGAAAAUCUACCAAUUGACGGUAACUAACCAGAAAGGGACGGCUAACUACGUGCCAGCAGCCGCGGUAAUACGUAGGUCCCGAGCGUUGUCCGGAUUUAUUGGGCGUAAAGCGAGCGCAGGCGGUUAUUUAAGUCUGAAGUUAAAGGCAGUGGCUUAACGAUUGUACGCUUUGGAAACUGGAGGACUUGAGUGCAGAAGGGGGGAGUGGAAUUCCAUGUGGAGCGGUGAAAUGCGUAGAUAUAUGGAGGAACACCGGUGGCGAAAGCGGCUCUCUGGUCUGUAACUGACGCUGAGGCUCGAAAGCGUGGGGAGCAAACAGG
rnacentral:rRNA from 1 species